rnacentral:rRNA from 1 species
UACGGGGGGGGCAAGCGUUGUUCGGAAUUACUGGGCGUAAAGCGCGCGCAGGCGGUCCUUUAGGUCUGAUGUGAAAGCUCACGGCUCAACCGUGGAGGGUCAUUGGAAACUGGGGGACUUGAGUGCAGGAGAGAAGAGUGGAAUUCCACGUGUAGCGGUGAAAUGCGUAGAGAUGUGGAGACACCAGUGGCGAAGGCGGCAUCCUGGACUGGUCCUGACACUCAGGAGCGAAAGCGUGGGAGCGAUCCGG